CCUACGGGUGGCUGCAGUGGGGGAUAUUGGGCAAUGGGCGCAAGCCUGAUGCAGCAAUGCCGCGUGGGCGAAGAAGUCUUUCGGUAUGUAAAGCCCUAUCAGCGGGGAAGAAGAGAUGACGGUACCUGAGUAAGAAGCCACGGCUAAAUACGUGCCAGCAGCCGCGGUAAUACGGAGGUUGCGAGCGUUGUCCGGAUUUAUUGGGUUUAAAGGGAGUGUAGAUGGGUUGUUAAGUCAGUUGUGAAAUCUUGAGGCUCAACCUUAAAAUUGCAAUUGAUACUGUCUGUCUUGAGUACUGGUGAGGUAGGCGGAAUUCGUUGUGUAGCGGUGAAAUGCGUAGAUAUCACGAAGAACUCCGAUGGCGAAGGCAGUUUACUAAACAGCCACUGACAGUGAGGCGCGAAAGCGUGGGGAGCAAACAGGAUUAGAUACCCUUGUAGUC
rnacentral:rRNA from 1 species